rnacentral:rRNA from 1 species
GACGAACGCUGGCGGCGUGCCUAACACAUGCAAGUGGAGCGACGAACCGGGCUUCGGCCCGGGGCAAAGCCGCGAACGGGUGAGUAACACGUGGGUAACCUGCCCCGAUGAUUGGGACAACCCGAGGAAACUCGGGCUAAUACCGAAUGUGCCCUAUGGCCUCAAGGCCACUGGGGAAAGAGCUUCGGCCUCCGCAUCGGGAUGGGCCCGNGGCCCAUUAGCUUGUUGGUGAGGUAACGGCUCACCAAGGCGACGAUGGGUAGCUGGUCUGAGAGGACGAUCAGCCACACUGGGACUGAGACAC